rnacentral:rRNA from 1 species
AUGGACCAAUCCAUCCCUUUUUCCCGUGCAUACGCAUCGGACUCGGAUGACGAUGGUCCCGAUGAAGAAGUUGAUGAGGAGGGGUUCACGCCGAAGGAGGCCCAAGCAUUCAAGAAGGUAUUCCAGCGGGAUCACAAGACACCAUUGUUCAAGGAUCUUAGUCUCGCGGAUGAAGCCGUUGUGGAUGGUGGCAAAUGCAUAUCUCUUGGAGCUAGGCCAAGUUCACAC